AGAUCUUUUAGGUGUUUGUCUCUGUCUGCGGGGUUGGAGCAAAUGUGGUUGUAUCGUAGAGCUUGGCUGUAGACAAUGGAUCAUGUGGUGUGGUCUGGAUGAAAGCAUGUAGAUAGGCAUAGUGGUCAAUAGGUUUCCUGUAUAGGGUGAUGUUUAUGUGACCAUCGCUUACUAGCACCAUAGUGUCCAGGAAGUGGAUCUAUUGUUGGACUGUUCCAGCUGAGGUUG